rnacentral:lncRNA from 1 species
CAAAGUCUUUCCUCUACCUUCUACUAAAAGAUCCUUAUAUAGAAUGGACCUGAAGAAAAGUCUAAUAUUUAUGACGUAAGUGCUUACGUCAUGUUACAUUAUUGAACCGACAUUGGGGUCCUAACUUUAUAAAAGCUUACAAUCAUCUUAACUUUUGUAAAAGUUAGAGUUUUAUCAACUAGUCUUUUCUAGUCUCCUUCCCCUUUAGCGUGUCUGAACUAGAAGAUUCUUCUAUCUGAUUCCUGAACUGUUGAAGAAAUAUUUCAAUGUCCAUCUCUUCUGCGCUAUGAAUUCUUUGGGAUUCUCCAGCUAUAAAGGUGUCUUCUUCUUCAUUUGAGGUAGCCAUAGAUAUAUUAUUCGAAAAUUUCAUGCCCAUAUUUUUUAUUAGAUCUUUUUUGACUUCUUCCAUGUAUGAAGUAAGAAGUUUCAAUUUUGAGAUGGCUCCUUUCUUCAUCUGUAGCCUUCUGGUUAUUAAUUUGAAAGGAUUGAUAUCAUCUCGACCUUGUAUGACUUCUGAUUAACGCUUGUUGAUCUCGAUAGAGUCUUUAAUGGAGUUUAUAAUCUCCUGUCCAUUUCAUUAUCCAUGGAGCAUAGAAUUAUAUGAAAAAUUACAUCAAUGACAUUUCUUUAAAAAUGACAUCAUCUUUUUGUAAUUUUAUCAAUUUAGGUGAUACAUCAACCCAUUCAACAUAUAACAUUUUGUAUUCCUCUGGCAAUAUAUUUAUAGAUGGACCAUAUAAAAUCCACCAUUGACAAAACCAAUUUGGUAUAUGCUGCUUAUAAACGUGAGAGCAUAUUUUUAUAAACUAUGAAUGAUUUCUAUUAGAGUUUUCAUAUAACAAGGUAUUAUUAAAGCUCUCAAUAUAAUCCCAGUAAUUAAACUUGAGUGCAAUUUUUUGUUAUGGAUGGGUGCAUUCUCUUUCUUUCAUCGUGCUUAUUCCCCAUUCUUCUGGGGGUGAAUAUCAUUUUUCUAAUGAAUUUUGAAAUUAUAAACCUUUUUAGUAUUGGCUAGGUAAAAGUGCUCAAAUUCAGCUAACUCAAUAGAUGAGAGUAUUAUCUCAUAAUAUAUUCUGUAUUUAUAAGUUGGGACAAUAUAUGAUGUUGUAUCAAAAUACCUGGUCAUUCUUUGCCAUGGAUCGUCUUUCCAAUGUAAAUAUAUGGGCUCAAGAAGAAGUCUUACCUUAUCUUUCUCAUUUUUAUCAUAUACUUCAAUAUUUUCAUUUCCUUCGUCAGUUACAACUGAAGAAUAGGAUGGUGGGUUAUUACCCUGAGCUUGUUUGGAUUGUAUAAAAUUCAUAAAUUCUUUGUACAUUUGAUGUUCAAUGUCAAUUCCCAAUGUGCUUGUAUAUGCUCCUGCAAUGUUUGAAGUUGUUAGCUUCUGGUUUCCUAUUUAGGCCAAGAUAUUAUUUCUUCCCAUGAGUGCUUUUCCUCUUCCUUCCUCUAUUAGAGGAAGAAUUUCCCGAUGGCCGCAUCAAUCCUGGUAUUAAUAGAUAAAGAGUUAUUAACUUAAAUAUUCUCUAGUAAAAAAAUCGGGAAGACUAUUAUAUGUUCCCUUUUUAUAAUGUAUUUCAAAAUCAAAAGGUGCUAACAAAGCUUUCAAUCUUACAAACAUUUGUUUUGAAACAUCAUGUUUUACAUAUGUAUUAAAGAUGAAUUUCUCUGCUUGACACUUAUGAUAAAUUUUUGAUUAUAUAAAUCUCUUUGAAAUUUUAAAACACUUUUAACUAUAGCCAAAAUUUCUUUACCUAUAGUAGAUAUUUUUUUAAAUAAUAUUCCAUUUUCCAGAAUAGAAGUGUAUGAUAUAUUCUUGUUUUUUCAUUAAGAGAAAUUUGUUUUAAAAUACCCCCGUAGCCAAUAUCAGAGGCAUCUGUUUCCACUAUGUUCUGCCAAUUCGGAUUGGCUAAAGUGAGGCAGGGUAGGUUAUUAACCGUUGUCUUAAUGUUAUUGACUGCUUUAGUAUGAUUAUCAGUCCAAGCUUUAGGAUUUUUUCUAAGUCUAUCAUAUAGUAUAGUUGUGUCUUUAGACAAAUCUUUUAUAAAAAGAGAGAUGUAAUUUAAACUAACCAAGAAUCAUUGGAUCUAAGUUUUAUCAGUAAUAACAUCAGGGAAUUUUGAAGCAAACUCUAUACUUCUUUAGAUGGGAAUAAUUUUUCCUUUUUCAAUAUUAUGGCCUAAGAAUCUAACAUUAGUUUGUAAAAUAUGCAUUUUUGGUCUAGAUAUAACCAAAUCAUUCUGAAUAAUAAUUUUCUUAAAUAGAUCAAGAUGUUUAAAAUGCAUUUAUAUGGUUUUUGGAAAUACCAAAAUAUCAUCUAUACAUACGAUGAUAAAAUUGCUAAAGGGCUUAAAAAAUAUCAUUCAUAAUUUUUUGAAAUUUCGAAGGAGCAUUUCUUUAUUCAAAAGGCAUAAUAUUCCAUUCAUAUUAUCCCAUUGGGACGUUAAAGGCUGUCUUAUAUUUAUCUUCUUCAUAAAUUCGAAUUUGCCAAUAACUUGAUUUUAAAUCAAAAUUUGAAAAUAUGAUAGCUUCAUGAAGUCGAUCCAAUAAAUCUUUUUUAUUGGGGAUAGAAUAUCUGAUCCAUUUUAAAACUUUAUUUAGCGGUUUAUAAUUUAUGACAAGUCCAGGUACUCCUUUCUCUUAUUCUGCUUGUUUAUUAACAUAAAAAGCAGUACAAGACCAUGAAGAUUUUGAGGGUUUUAUUGAACCCUUUUGGAGAAGAUUAUCAAUCUCUUUUUAAUAUAAAUUUAGAUAUUUCGAAUUUAUUUGGCAUGGUCUUGCCUUAGUAGGAAUAUUAUCUUUUAAAAAUUCUUCUUCAUAAGGAAGACUCACCACAUGCGAGUCCUUUCCCAAAUACAUUUGGGUGGUCACCACAUAUUUGUAGAGAGAAUUGACUCUUCAAAAUCUCAAUGUUUCCUUGGAUUUUAGGAUUUUGUAAAGUCUCUUCAAUUGUAAGAUUACAAAUUGCAUUUUAAAGAAAAUCAAUUUGUUUAUUUUUUAAAGAGAUCAUAUCUUUAACCUCAUUAACGAAUUUUGAAAAUGGUUGAGAUAUCAAAUCUAUUCUUAUUUUUCUUCCUUCGAAAUUACCAGUAAUUUCGUUCUCAUUCCAUGAAGUUGUAGGAUAUAUAUGCCAGUAAAAAGUCAUUCCUUGAAUGAUUUCGUUAGAAAUAUUUUUUAUUAACAAAGCUUUCAGGCAUACAUAUAUUAUUUGUACAUAUAUAUGCUUUAGGAAUUUUAUAUUCAAUAUCCAUUUUAUGACCACAAGCAUUACAAAGACUAUGUGUAGUCUUUUUAAAAUAUCUUGAUGAAAUUAAUCCUUCUUGAAUGCAAUUUAAAUCAGCUCCACUAUUAGAGCAAUAAAAUCCUUUUUUAGGUUAUAAUCAAUAAAAAGAGUAAUUUUUGCUAAAGGUUUAUGUGCUGUAAUUAGCUCAAUAGUUUCUAAAAAUAAUUCUCAUUAUCAAUAGACUCACUAGGGAUGUCAGGAAGAUUACUUUUUGGAACAUUAUAGGAGGAUCAUCUUCAGCUCUGACAUGUUUUCUAUGAUGAUUUUUGUCCUUACUUUCUAUAUAAGUAAUUCUUUCAUCAAUAAUCAUAUUAUGGUUUUUGAGAAAAAGAUAUUUCUUUUUUUGAGAUUAUUUAUCUCCUCAACCAAGUCUUGGAUUGUAGUAGGAAUGUGAUCCAUUUGAGACCUCAGUUUUAGUUGUCUUCUAACCUCUGCCAUGGUAUAAACAUUAUUAUGAAUAGGAUUUUCUUUAGGAAUUCUAGUAUUACUAGUAGAGGUGCUGGUAUUACCAAUUUUGUCGAUAAUUUGGGAACUUAAUGUUGGGUCAUCAAUCAUCCUAAGAAUUUAUAUUCAAUUGUCAUUACUUAUAACAUCGAUGUUUGAGUCCUUGAACUGAGAGUAUAACUGAUAGAAUUCAUCCUUAUCUUUAUCAAAAGGUUGGCCAAUCUUGCAAGACGUACAUUCUUCCUCAGAUGAGGACAUGUAGUCUUGUUCAUGAUGAACUUUUAGGUCUUCACUAGUAGAGGAUCCCUCUCCGUCACUAUUAUUAGAACUUAAAUUUUAUGAAGAGGAAUUUGAUGUACCGUAGUUUUACGAUAAUUUUAGUGCUUUUUCCUUAGGUUUCGUAUGUGUCUAAAGCUUUUUUGUAUUAGUUUUAAUGUAUUUUCACUUUGUUUGCAGGAAAUCUGUCUAGAAUGAAAACGCGAAUGAAUUAUGCUGAAACUGCAAAAGUGACUACCAACGUAGCUAUCGACGGUCCAUUAGUGGCCACCAUCGUAUGAAGGAAAAGAAUUGAAUGAAGAUUGGGGAAUUCUGACUAAGUGUGGCGAUACGGAGGCUCUCGACGGACCGUCAUCUCCACGACGGAUCUUGCUUCACAUCCGUCAUCGUCAACAGAAAGUAGCCCCAAUACCCAUCUUGAAAAGAAGCAAAUUUCGGAGUGGACCACGACGGUUCAUCGUGGACUUGACGACCGUCAUCUAGGUUUUUGACUCAGACGCGGUUUUUGGGCAGAUUUUUCUUAAAUAGAUUUCCCUAUUUUAUUAGGACUAGUAUUAUAAAUACUUGUAAAAACCUCAUUUUUGAGGUUAGACUCUUGGGUAUUUUUUAGAUUUUAUUAUUCUAGUUGUGAACUUGUGAUUUUGGGAAAUUAUUCUAUUUUUUGGAAAUCGUUUAUUGCAAGCUUAUUGAUUAAUUCAAGUAAUUUUCUG